rnacentral:rRNA from 1 species
GGAUUGCCUCAGUAACGGCGAGUGAAGCGGCAACAGCUCAAAUUUGAAAUCUGGCUCUUUCAGGGUCCGAGUUGUAAUUUGUAGAAGAUGCUUUGAGUGUAGCUCCGGUCUAAGUUCCUUGGAACAGGACGUCAUAGAGGGUGAGAAUCCCGUACGUGACUGGGUGCUUUCGCUCGUGUAAAGCUCUUUCAACGAGUCGAGUUGUUUGGGAAUGCAGCUCAAAAUGGGUGGUAAAUUUCAUCUAAAGCUAAAUAUUGGCCAGAGACCGAUAGCGCACAAGUAGAGUGAUCGAAAGAUGAAAAGCACUUUGGAAAGAGAGUUAAACAGUACGUGAAAUUGUUGAAAGGGAAGCGCUUGCAACCAGACUUGCAUGCUGUUGAUCAUCCGAGAUUUUUCCCGGUGCACUCGGCAGUAUUCAGGCCAGCAUCGGUUUUGGUGGGCGGAUAAAGGCCUUGGGAAUGUAGCUUCUUUCGGGGAGUGUUAUAGCCCUCGGUGCAAUGCGCCCUACCGGGACCGAGGACCGCGCUUCGGCUAGGAUGCUGGCGUAAUGGUUGUAAGCGACCCGUCUUGAAACACGGACCAAGGAGUCUAACAUCUAUGCGAGUGUUUGGGUGUCAAACCCAUACGCGUAAUGAAAGUGAACGGAGGUGAGAACCCUUAAGGGUGCAUCAUCGACCGAUCCUGAUGUCUUCGGAUGGAUUUGAGUAAGAGCAUAGCUGUUGGGACCCGAAAGAUGGUGAACUAUGCCUGAAUAGGGUGAAGCCAGAGGAAACUCUGGUGGAGGCUCGCAGCGGUUCUGACGUGCAAAUCGAUCGUCAAAUUUGGGUAUAGGGGCGAAAGACUAAUCGAACCAUCUAGUAGCUGGUUCC